rnacentral:rRNA from 1 species
AUAAUACUCCAUAGAUUAGAGAUACUGGAAUGUUCUUUAGUCAAAAGUUUCUGGCGCCUUAGGAUGGAUCUGCGGUCGAUUAGGUUGUUGUUGGGGUAACGGCCCAACAAGCCUGUAAUCGAUACGAGUUGUGGGAGCAAUAGCCCGGAGAUGGAAUCUGAGACAAGAUUCCAGGCCCUACGGGGCGCAGCAGGCGCGAAAACUUUACAAUGCAGGAAACUGUGAUAAGGGAACCCCGAGUGCCCGUAUACGCGGGCUGUCCAGGUGUUUAAAAAUCAUCUGAAGAAAGGGCCGGGCAAGACCGGUGCCAGCCGCCGCGGUAAUACCGGCGGCUCGAGUGGUGGCCACUAUUAUUGGGCUUAAAGCGUCCGUAGCUGGACUGAUAAGUCUCUUGGGAAAUCCGCCGGCUCAACCGGCGGGCGUCUAAGGGAUACUGUUGGUCUAGGGACCGGGAGAGGUGAGAGGUACUCCGGGGGUAGGAGUGAAAUCCUGUAAUCCCCGGGGGACCACCGAUGGCGAAGGCAUCUCACCAGAACGGCUCCGACAGUGAGGGACGAAAGCUGGGGGAGCAAACCGGAUUAGAUACCCGGGUAGUCCCAGCCGUAAACUAUGCGCGUUAGGUGU